GUUAUUUCGUUUGGAUGUAUUUCUUGUUUUUAUCGAUGACUGGCUUCCUUUUUGUCACGCUUUAGACUGAUGUACGGUCACAUUGGAUUUGAAAACGACAUCCUUUCUUCCAUAGAUCCACGCUACCUGAAAGAAGGCCGCCUUCUGAAUCCAACGAUACCAGUUAUGUGCACAUCGGACCUACGCUUCAAAAGAUACGGACAGAUCCACGCUACCUGAAAGAAGGCCGCCUUCUGAAUCCAACGAUACCAGUUAUGUGCACAUCGGACCUACGCUUCAAAAGAUACGGACAGAUCCACGCUACCUGAAAGAAGGCCGCCUUCUGAAUCCAACGAUACCAGUUAUGUGCACAUCGGACCUACGCUUCAAAAGAUACGGACAGAUCCACGCUACCUGAAAGAAGGCCGCCUUCUGAAUCCAACGAUACCAGUUAUGUGCACAUCGGACCUACGCUUCAAAAGAUACGGACAGAUCCACGCUACCUGAAAGAAGGCCGCCUUCUGAAUCCAACGAUACCAGUUAUGUGCACAUCGGACCUACGCUUCAAAAGAUACGGACAGAUCCACGCUACCUGAAAGAAGGCCGCCUUCUGAAUCCAACGAUACCAGUUAUGUGCACAUCGGACCUACGCUUCAAAAGAUACGGACAGAUCCACGCUACCUGAAAGAAGGCCGCCUUCUGAAUCCAACGAUACCAGUUAUGUGCACAUCGGACCUACGCUUCAAAAGAUACGGACAGAUCCACGCUACCUGAAAGAAGGCCGCCUUCUGAAUCCAACGAUACCAGUUAUGUGCACAUCGGACCUACGCUUCAAAAGAUACGGACAGAUCCACGCUACCUGAAAGAAGGCCGCCUUCUGAAUCCAACGAUACCAGUUAUGUGCACAUCGGACCUACGCUUCAAAAGAUACGGACAGAUCCACGCUACCUGAAAGAAGGCCGCCUUCUGAAUCCAACGAUACCAGUUAUGUGCACAUCGGACCUACGCUUCAAAAGAUACGGACAGGUAAGCUUUGGCCAAUCAGAUCGCAUAUGCUAACGAGGGUGGAAUUAAUGAGGGUGAAACUCGUUUUUAUCUAUAUACCUAACUCUAACCCUAACCCUAACCCUAACUCU